rnacentral:lncRNA from 1 species
UAGAACUCGGAAUCUUUCAUUUAUAUGUAAUACCAUUCAUAAAAAAUGUGCGAAACUCAAUAUAUAAUAUUUUCAAAAUUUCGACUAACGAUAGAGUGAUAUUUUUGAUACAAAUUUUUCUAAUGAGUGACUCAUUUGAGUCAAUUUGGGAAUCAGUCACUCAAUUGAUACAUUUGGACGAAACGAGUCACCAACUUGAUAUUUAUCCCUUAU